CCUACGGGAGGCAGCAGUGGGGAAUCUUGCACAAUGGAGGAAACUCUGAUGCAGCGAUGCCGCGUGAGUGAAGAAGGCCUUUGGGUUGUAAAGCUCUUUUGUAGGGGAAGAUAAUGACUGUACCCUAAGAAUAAGGUCCGGCUAACUUCGUGCCAGCAGCCGCGGUAAUACGAAGGGACCUAGCGUAGUUCGGAAUUACUGGGCGUAAAGCGCGCGUAGGCCGUUGAGUUAGUUAAUUGUGAAAUCCCAAAGCUUAACUUUGGAACUGCAAUUAAAACUGCUCGACUAGAGUUUGAUAGAGGAAAGCGGAAUACAUAGUGUAGAGGUGAAAUUCGUAGAUAUUAUGUAGAACACCAGUUGCGAAGGCGGCUUUCUGGAUCAACACUGACGCUGAGGCGCGAAAGUAUGGGUAGCAAAGAGGAUUAGAUACCCUCGUAGUCCAUACCAUAAACGAUGAUUGCUAGAUGUUGGAAAUUUAUUUUCAGUAUCGCAGCUAACGCAUUAAGCAAUCCGCCUGGGGAGUACGACCGCAAGGUUAAAACUCAAAGGAAUUGAACGGNUGAGAGUGCGAGACGACACGAGGAGAGG
rnacentral:rRNA from 1 species